AUUAGCUUUAUUACUGGAAUUAGGGGGGUCACAAUAGAAGACUUCGUUGAUGAUUGUUACAGCGUUGCCAAGUUCGUUGCAGCUUAUGCUCCUAUUCUUCCUGGCCUAACUGACAUGUCUCAAUGGCCUAGUGUGAACAAAGAAUUCUUCUUGAAUCCCCCAAUCCUUAGGAGGGCCCCUGGAGGCCAAAGGUGCAGAGGCACAAAAGUGGUGCUGAGAAUAGCAAGGGAAAGGGAAAGAAAGGCCAUCACCAGUGUUCAAUUUGCAAAGCUUAUGGACAUAGAUGGCAAAGCUGCAAAGAUGCUGCUCCUGAAGCACUAGAAGCCUAUGCAGAAGUAGCAAAGCAAAAAAGGGACAAAAGAAAGAAAAAACCCAUUACAAAAGCUAUUUGUACAACAUCAGAUCAAGCAACUGAUGGUACACUACCUCUGCUUCCAUGUCCAAGAGAAAAUGAAACUGCACUAGCUCUACUUUCAUGUUCAAGUGAUGCAAUUGAAGACGAUGUUGCCAAGUCGACAUCAUCGAAGACUACUAAAUCUAGAAGAUCAAAGGUCAUAUCUGCUGCGCCUGACAGCCCCGCAAUGGGCACUCAAAGCAAGAAGAGAGCUGCACCUAACAGCCAAGCAAUGGCCAGUCGAAGCAAAAAAAAGUUGAAACUGUGAAAUUCUCUAAAAUCUCGCAUAUUAUUUAUGUAUUGCACCUCCUCAUUUGCAUGCUAUUUUAUUUAGAGACUUGCUUGUGUGAACAACAUAUUUUGGUUGUGGUAUUUUGGUUCUGGAUGAUGUUAACUUGGUACUGAUUGUGUAAGAUUUAAUAUGUUGCUUGCU